rnacentral:rRNA from 1 species
AGAGUUCGAUCCUGGCUCAGGAUGAACGCUGGCGGCGCGCCUAACACAUGCAAGUCGAACGAUUAAAGCACCUUCGGGUGUGUAUAAAGUGGCGAACGGCUGAGUAACACGUGGGCAACCUGCCCCUCUCAUUGGGAUAGCCACGGGAAACCGUGGAUAAUACCGAAUACUUCGAGACUUCCGCAUGGAAGACUCGAGAAAGCUCCGGCGGAGAGGGAUGGGCCCGCGGCCUGUUAGCUUGUUGGUGGGGUAACGGCCUACCAAGGCAAUGAUGGGUAGCUGGGUUGAGAGACCGACCAGCCAGAUUGGGACUGAGACACGGCCCAGACUCCUACGGGAGGCAGCAGUGGGGAAUCUUGCACAAUGGGCGAAAGCCUGAUGCAGCGACGCCGCGUGCGGGAUGAAGGCCUUCGGGUUGUAAACCGCUUUCAGCAGGGACGAGGCGAAAGUGACGGUACCUGCAGAAGAAGCCCCGGCUAACUACGUGCCAGCAGCCGCGGUAAUACGUAGGGGGCAAGCGUUAUCCGGAUUCAUUGGGCGUAAAGCGCUCGUAGGCGGUCUGUUAGGUCGGGAGUUAAAUCCGGGGGCUCAACCCCCGUUCGCUCCCGAUACCGGCAGACUUGAGUUUGGUAGGGGAAGGUGGAAUUCCUAGUGUAGCGGUGGAAUGCGCAGAUAUUAGGAAGAACACCAGUGGCGAAGGCGGCCUUCUGGGCCAUAACUGACGCUGAGGAGCGAAAGCUAGGGGAGCAAACAGGAUUAGAUACCCUGGUAGUCCUAGCCGUAAACGAUGGACACUAGGUGUGGGGGAAUAUUUCUUCCGUGCCGCAGCUAACGCAUUAAGUGUCCCGCCUGGGGAGUACGGCCGCAAGGCUAAAACUCAAAGGAAUUGACGGGGGCCCGCACAAGCGGCGGAGCAUGCGGAUUAAUUCGAUGCAACGCGAAGAACCUUACCAAGGCUUGACAUAUACUGGACCGCAUCAGAGAUGGUGUUUCCCUUCGGGGCUGGUAUACAGGUGGUGCAUGGUUGUCGUCAGCUCGUGUCGUGAGAUGUUGGGUUAAGUCCC